UCCUGGCUCAGGAUGAACGCUAGCGGCAGGCUUAAUACAUGCAAGUCGUGGGGCAGCAUGAGUAGCAAUACUUGAUGGCGACCGGCAAACGGGUGAGGAACACGUACACAACCUUCCUUCAAGCGGGGAAUAGCCCAGAGAAAUUUGGAUUAAUACCCCAUAAUAUAUUUGAUAAGGCAUCUUAUUAAUAUUAAAGCUUCGGCACUUGAUGAUGGGUGUGCGGCUGAUUAGAUAGUUGGCGGGUAACGGCCCACCAAGUCUACGAUCAGUAGCUGAUGUGAGAGCAUGAUCAGCCACACGGGCACUGAGACACGGGCCCGACUCCUACGGGAGGCAGCAGUAAGGAAUAUUGGACAAUGGACGAAAGUCUGAUCCAGCCAUGCCGCGUGAAGGAUUAAGGUCCUCUGGAUUGUAAACUUCUUUUAUAUGGGACGAAAAAGGGCAUUCUUGUUCACUUGACGGUACCAUAUGAAUAAGCACCGGCUAACUCCGUG
rnacentral:rRNA from 1 species